CAGCGCGAACGAGCUCUGGAGAGACAGUGGCUGCGAGAAUAUUGAAAUUUGUGAAUAUCUUCUGGCUCCUAAUUUUGCACCCCUGGCAAUUAUGCAGAAGAUGAUCAGAAAUGGAAAAAGAGCAGGAGGGUACCCAGGGCUUUGUGAAUAGGUAUUAACAACUGGUUUGUUGUUACUGGGUUUUUUGUUUGUUUGUUUUUUUAAGGAAACCAGAAUGUAUCUAUUUUAAGCUCUCCUUCCCUAUAGUUAUCUUGUCUUGCUGCAUUAUCCACUUAAUUUAUCAUUGUUGGCCAGGCGCGGUGGCUCACGCCUGUAAUCCCAGAACUUUGGGAGGCUGAGGCGGGCAGAUCACGAGGUCAGG
rnacentral:lncRNA from 10 species